ensembl:lncRNA
GUGUGUGUGUGUGUGUGUGUGUGUGUGUGUGUGUGUGUGUGUGUGUGCGUGUGCGUGUGUCUAAGCCAAUGCGGAUGAAAGAUUUCCCCUUUCAGCCGGCCGACACACUCUUCCAAUAUUCAUCCCUCCAACAACUCGGUCUAUGGAUGCAUCCUGCACCGCGCCCCGGGAACGCGCGCGCACACAACGCGCACAGCUUCUGGUUUUCCACGGUGCAUUUGUCUUCAAACGCACCUUUUUUUGUUUUCCUCUCCAGAUGCACCGGGCUUGCAGCAAAAAAUAGCCUACAUGUUUUGCUACCCGAAGCAGAAGCCCGCCAGAGAGUGGACGGGUGGAAGAGAGAGCCACACAGAGGCAGGGAAUAGAAGACGGGGUGUAAAAUACAGCGACCUGCCAUCCACACAGUCACAUCUGGGACUCUUGUCAAGCAUGGAGCCUAUACCGCCUGGAAACACGGCCACACAAAAACACCCGAAAGCUCCAUGUUUCCCAUCCUCGCCUCGAUGUCCAUCAGCAUCUCAUCUCAAGCAGCCCCCCCCCCCCCCCCCCCCCCCCCCCCCCCCCCCCCCCCNNNNNNNNNNNNNNNNNNNNNNNNNNNNNNNNNNNNNNNNNNNNNNNNNNNNNNNNNNNNNNNNNNNNNNNNNNNNNNNNNNNNNNNNNNNNNNNNNNNNCCCCCCCCUCAAAAAAAAAAAAUACGGCCAGAGAAAGAGCAAUAGGCAGAAUAAUAAAGGCACCUUGCGAUUUUUCUAAUUAGAGAGAAAGACGGGGAGUGCGCAUGGAGAUGUCUUCAAAUCCGCGAGCAAGCGCACAGCAGUGACGGCAUUGAUCCUUGGGUCGGAUAGAUGGUGCUGAUGAUACUGCUGGCGCUGAUUUUCCUCCUCGAAAUGGUCGGCUUGGAGAUUGAACCGACGCAGCAGCUACUUCCGGAAUAGGAAGAAGAAGGAGAAGAAGAGGUGGGGGGAAAAAAAGAAGAAAAUCUCAUCCUGUAAACAAGUCGGUGUUUUUUUUUUCUUUUUUCAUCCGGUCAUCCAUUCGCCUCCGAUCGGGUGACGCGCCUCUCCCAGUGCUCCCAGCAGCUGGGCAGGAAAAGGAGGCUUUAACGCGAGCGCCGUCUCAGCGACGUGUCCGGGGGAGCCGCGAGAAGCGAGAAGAACCGGACCUGGUACCUUCUCCUCCCUGGACGGCUGCACGUGCGUGUACGUGUACGCGCACGCGUAGUCCAUAUCACGUGCGGUGCGAGAGCAGGGAUUUUGUGGGGACUUUGGUGGAAGAAGUAUAGCUGAGGGAAUACAACAGCGUAAUAGUACUCUGUUACAAGUGAAAAGUCCUGCGUUUGAGGUGAAAUGAUCAACAUAUUGUUAAAAGUGUGUUUGCCUGCUCAUCAUCACACUGACCCAUUUUACAAUGGUGCAUAUUAUGUCACUGGGAUAUAAUUAUUGAUGAUUUUAUUUAUACACUGCUGGGUAAUUCCAUUCACUCUGUUUAUCAGCUAUUGUUAAUAUUAUUUUGCCAUGGACUAAUAAAAAUACAACCCUCUUAUUCAACCACUAACUGUCUUCGAAUGUCAUCAGGUUAAAACACCUCUUUGAAACAUAAGAAAAUAACCUUGAGUUGUAUUAGACUGCAAUGGUUUUUUGCUGUCAAAACAAAGGCUACUGACGUGAGGCAUCAGUUGCAUUUUCAUGGGAGCUUUUUAUUUUAGUUAGUUAGUACAUUUGUACUUUAAUUAAGUCAAACACCUGAAUACUUCCUUCAUUACCUGAGGAACCUGAACGUUCUAGUAGCCAAAGCCCAAGUCCCUCUGCUGAGACAGCGUGAAACCACAUAAUACAAAGUAUACAGAAAGUAAAAAAAAAAAAGAGCAGUUCAUCUCAGAGCAGUUCAUCACGAUGAUGAGAGGUAAUUAUGGAAACAUCAGAGAUACAUGGUCAGAGGUCACUUUAGUCGCAGUAUUGCCUCUCUCUCUCUCUCUCUCUCUCUCUCUCUUUUCACACUCUGCUUUCUCCUCCAUGGCAACACCUCCCCCCUGUCACAUCGAUCUUGACUGAUUUUUCACACUCUGCUUGUUACAGAUAUGGAUCUGCUUUAAGCAUAACACUUGAUUUCAUGCGAUGCCACAACUAUUCUACCAUGGCAUUGUUCCCUAUACACAAUAUAUAACAAUACACACACACACACACACACACACACAUACAGAAAUGUUGACCUUACGUGGAUUCCACAGGACAAAGACGCUUUAAACAUGUGAUGAUCUUAUAGAUUAAGACCUUAAACGUCACUAAAAUGCACCUUACACAUUAAUGCAACAGUGAUCGGAUUUGAAAAAACAUUUCUGACAGUAAAACACCGACACUAAACAUUUAAACGGCAAUGAUUACUUUUACUUUCCAUACGCAAGUCAAUACUUUUCAUCAGGGUUUAGAAUGCAGUACUUUUGUUUGUGGUGCAGUAUUUUCACAGUUGAUGAUGAUUAUAGUUUUAGUAGAUGAUCUGGAUUCUUUCAUCCUGUACUGUGUUCAGGCUCUUGUAAAGAUCAAACACAGCCUAGUUGUUUGUUUAAAGACUUUUGACCAUCGUAACAGCCGCUAUAAGCGUAUACUACUAACAUUGUUCUUAUCUAAGGCAAUAAAUAAAAAAAUCAAAUACACUGCAGCUAAAUUGGUUCAUCGUUCACUCAUAAUUUUCCCAACAUACAUUACUACAUUGCUCUGCAAUGCGAAACGUGAUGGCACGUUGUGUGGGUGGGUUAUUUUAUGAUGAUUCCGUGUUGGGGGGGGAGGGUUGGUGCUAAAUGCUAAUGAGGUGAACGUUUGAAAAAAAAGAAAAGUCUACGUAAUGGUGUCUGCAGGCACUGAACAUCUCAGAUUUUGGGAUGUAGCUUUCAUGUGUGCUCACCAGGAAGUGACCUUUGUGUCUUAAACCGGAAUCUUGUUUCUCUCUCUUGUUCUUCCUCCAUUUUCAUAAUUUUCCUCCUCAGCUGAAGCUUUGGUUCUCUUUGUGUUUAAUGUACCUUGACAAAGAGAGCGGCGCCAAUUACCCAAAUCAACACCUCCUGUCACGUUCUCAAAUUGUUUUUUUUUUAAACUGAUUUGAAGCCUGAUGAUAUUUAACAUUAUUACAAAUGUACGGUUGGCUAAAGGCUGACAGGCACAUCAAAGUCUGGGUUUAGCUCCAGGUCAAGGUGAGGCUGCAGGCUUGGGUUUGGGUUCAGGUUUGGGAAAUGCUAAAUUCAUGCAACUUUAAUGGUCUGGUGGGUAAAGAAAGGAGCUGUGCCGGCAUUUAAACUGAGAUGCUGAUGGGGAAUAAGGUGCAGGUGAGCAGAAAGAGGGAGUGGGAACAGGUAUGGACUCGGGCAGUAGGAAAUGUGGCUGCUUGAUUUGCUGAGCUCCUGUUAUUGGAACUCCAUUCUAGCUUCAGACUGAUUUCUGAUUACAUUUUGCACAAGGAGUGUGGAUCUUGACCAAGAUCUCUUCCUUUAAAAGCAAAGGAAUCCGCUCAGUGGCAAAUAUGAACAGCCAGUAAAAAAACAUCCUCUGGGCUUCGGUUUGUUUUAACAACCAAUCCUUUGACUCCCUUGACAGUGUUAUCUCACUUUGACUCUCGAAUGUUCUGAUUAACCUCGUACAUCACGUGUACGUGCAUCUGAACCCACACAUGCACCCGUGCUGUUUCAUUAGGCCCGUUUGACCCGUUUGUCUCACUUCACUGAAUGAUUUGCCUUCCUGUACGUCCUCACAGGCUUGUGAGAAGAAUACAAAGCAAAUUCAAACCUGCUGAUGUUUAUCCCCAGUGAGUCUGUUCCUAGUGUCGGAGGAAACUCACCCUAUUUUUAAAAAACCUCUUUGGAUUUACUUUUUCUUAAGAGGUUUAAUCCUAAAAAACAUUUUUAAACCUGAGGUAAGAUAAAACCACAUUUGCGAUGCAUUUCUUCUCCAUUUAAUUACCUCAUGACGCCUCAAAUUGAUCUUUUGUUUCAUUUAGAGACCCAACCCCUCGGUUGGGAACCACUGGCCUGAGCUGACUGAAUAUGAAGCAGUUAGAGUAAUGCCACUUUAGCCAUCUAUAACAGUAAAUGCUCCCACGAUGCAUCGGCAUUUAUCAUAAUAUCAUUUUUACAUUUCCAUUUCCAAGUUCUUUCUCUGCUUUAAGAGAUUGAGUGUUAAAAUCUGCGGAUAGAAGAUAAAAACACAAUCAUCAACUAAACCACCUAAACAGUUUUCCUAAAACAUUACAAUCCAUAAUAUAUACAUGUGUUUAUUAUUAUUUCAUGUCAAAUUUAAAUGUAUAUAAUAUAUAUAUUAUAUACCUAUGUAUGUGUAUGUGAAAUAUGUAUGUAUGUGUAUGUGAAAAAGUAGCCUCUAAGUCUAUUGUAAUUUAGGUUUGAGAUAGGUUUGAAUACUUCCCCCACUGUGAAAAGGACUAUUAUAAGAAACGCUGUAUUGGCCCCUACUGAUCUGAAGGCUGCCCUUUUUUUU